rnacentral:rRNA from 1 species
UAGGGUUCGAUCCUGGCUCAGAUUGAACGCUGGCGGAAUGCUUUACACAUGCAAGUCGAACGGCAGCAUAGAGAGCUUGCUCCCUGAUGGCGAGUGGCGAACGGGUGAGUAAUAUAUCGGAACGUGCCUAGUAAUGGGGAACAACUAAUCGAAAGAUUAGCUAAUACCGCAUACGACCUACAGGUGAAAGCAGGGGAUCUUCGGACCUUGCGUUAUUAGAGCGGCCGAUAUCUGAUUAGCUUGUUGGUAGGGUAAAAGCCUACCAAGGCAACGAUCAGUAGCUGGUCUGAGAGGACGAUCAGCCACACUGGAACUGAGACACGGUCCAGACUCCUACGGGAGGCAGCAGUGGGGAAUUUUGGACAAUGGGGGCAACCCUGAUCCAGCCAUUCCGCGUGAGUGAAGAAGGCCUUCGGGUUGUAAAGCUCUUUCGCAAGAGAAGAAAACUUGCUAUCUAAUAAAUAGUAAGCAUGACGGUAUCUUGAUAAGAAGCACCGGCUAACUAUGUGCCAGCCGCCGCGGUAAUUCA